rnacentral:lncRNA from 1 species
ACAGGCAGAAGUGCAAGUAUCAAACUCUGCUGAUUUGUAACAGAUAUAUUAAUUGCAAACAAACAGCUUCUCCACAUGAACUGUAGGCUGUCAUGCACUUCCAUGUGACACCUUUUUUAAGGAGAAAAAAAAAGUUAAAUAGUUGUUACUACAUAAGAGUCUUUAUAUCGUUCUUCAUUUCUCACCUUACAGUCUUACAAUACAGUGAGCAAGUUUGUGCCACCAUAUGCUACACAACUUCAAAUGACAUACUUUUAAUAGCAAAACAGAGGAAUAUGAGAAAAUAUUUAACAGCUACUGGCCCAUUUACCUGUAGCGUAUUCUAACGAUAGGCUGCUUCUGGCAUCAGUGGCUGUAAUCGUUGAGUAAACAUUUAAAACAGCAAACAAUAACAUUUUGUGCACAAACGAACAAUUAUAUUCAACAUUUGCUUAUCUUCGUUAGAAGCUGAAACGUAAUUAACCUACCUUGUUGAACAGUUUUUGUGAUCCGGUGAAAACGUACUAAUAUUAUCAGAGUCGCUUUAACGCGAAACAGAAACACAUGAAUAUUCAUGUAAGCUCCGCCCAGCGUCACCGAAAAUCUCAGACACCGAAUAUUUCAGAACACCGGCUACGUUCACACUUGGGGUGUUUUAGAAGAAGAUGGAUGGGUGAGGCAGAGGGUCCAAUCGAUGGAUGCAAAUGUGUUUUUUAGGAGAGCUGAUCAGCCUUGGAGGCCGCGUGUUCUCUCUGUUCCUGCAAGCGCUGCUGUGAGUGUGAGAUACGGCAGACAGACGAGGAGAACCACAGAUGAGUUUGAUAUUCUGCUCGAAAAGCGGAUGAAGAGGAUGUGUAAGGGCAGACCAGCCUCACAGACACAGCGCUUCUCCAUGAGCUUAAGCUUCGUCUGGAGCCAUGAAGAGUGUGACGCAGACGCAGAGAGGAGGAGACACUAGAGGCUAACGUACCAUGCAGCUUCUUCAGCUUCCGUUUCCCGAAACGCUUUCUAACAAGUAUACUGAUGACACUUUUUAUCUGCUUUCAAGUUGUCGAGAAGAAAAUUGCAUAUACAUGGAUAUAUGACUCUAAAGCUCUAGACAUUUAAAGGUGCUGUCGUUUUUCGACCGUCAUAAAGCAUGAAAAUACCGUAUGUCUGCAGAUAUUUAGGAAACAUGCUAAGCUCACAUAAUUGUUUUUCUGGAAAACAACACUACAGCUUCUGCUUUGAAAUGUGCGUUCCGUGUCAGAAUGUCUGUUUUUGUUUUGGUCUGUGUGACUCCGCCCACUGCCACUUUACCCAAUAGGGUUGCCAGUUGGUGGAAAACACAGCGUAUUGUGAGCGAACUGAGUCGGAGAUCCAUCUGAAAAAACACUAUGAGCAGAGGAAUAUUAAUCUCUGAUAAAUCAAAUCACUGGCUUACAGGCUUGUCACCUUCCGUUGUCAAAUGCGCUCGUUCUGUUGCAUGUCCUCCAAUCUGGCAACCCACGUGUGUGUUGAGUCUGAAGGGGAGAGACAGGAGAAACUCUCUCCCCAGUAUUUUGAAUUUGACCUGCUGAACCCAUUUCAACCACCAGCUGUCAAUAUUACAUACUGCACCUUUAACUCAACGUAUUUGUUUUAGAUUUUUACAUUUUUGGUGUAAUAUCUUCAUUAAGGUUCGUCUACAACCUUAAAAAGGGUUUUUAAAGGGUUAGAUAUUCUAAGAAUAGUGUUAAUAAAAUAUAUUUUUUAUGUACCUUUUAAUGUUUUUUCAUUGCAAUAUGAAUAAAAAUGUAUUAAUCUGAAUGUUUGAUAUUUGUACAGUCAAAAGUACAGCUGUAGCACAACAUUUUAACAGCGAGCCGAGUUUUCUCUCCAUUCAUUGUGUCUGUUUCACAAAUAUAUAUACAUAUAUAAUAAUAAAGCUGUUUACUUCUGUACACUGUUUACUUGUUCUAUCUAGUGCACUAGAAACAGCUAGGCCUGCUCACCAUCAUAAUGAUCAACUAACUGUCUGAUGUACCUGCUGAUUUAGAAAACAAAUCUCAUUAUGUAUAAUUACUGAAUAACUAUGAGCUAUAAAAAAAAACAACUAUAAAAAACAGCCUCACUGUUGUGACGAGUGUAACAAACAAUCAGAGGUGGACAGUAACAGAGUACAUUUACUUGAGUACUCUACUUAAGUACACUUUUUGGGUAUCUGUGAGUAUUUUUUUUAUGUAACUUAUGAGUUCACUACAUUUAAAAGAUAAAUAUUGUUCUUUUCACUCCACUACAUUUCUAUCGAGGUCUUUGAAGUAGAAAGUCGUUACUAUGAAGCAGCUUUGAAAGUAGGGGGUGGUUUUUUUCUUCUCUAAAACGUGACUUGUUUUUCCUUUUUUAAUCUUUUUUUUAUUUUAUUUUGUUUAGACGGUCUAUCAGUAAUCACUCUUGUUACGUGAAGUGAUUUCCCAGCAUUUUUUGAACACUGACCAGUUGCAAAUGUGAUAUUUAUUUACAAUUCAGUAAGUUAAUAUUGUGGGUUAUAUGAAGACACAAUAUUGCCUAAUUUUGCAAAAUUGUGUAAACCAAAAUAUUACCUAUAAAGCUAUAAGA